UACAGAGGCCUCGAGCGUUAGGCGGAAUCACUGGGCUUAAAGCGUGUGUAGGCGGACUUCUAAGUACCUUGUGAAAUCCCACGGCUUACCCGUGGAACGGCUGGGUAUACUGGGAGUCUUGAGCCACCUAGGGGCGAGUGGAACAAAUGGUGGAGCGGUGAAAUGCGUAGAUAUCAUUUGGAACGCCAAUGGUGAAAACAACUCGCUGGGGGUGUGCUGACGCUGAGACACGAAAGCCAGGGGAGCGAGCGGG
rnacentral:rRNA from 1 species